rnacentral:rRNA from 1 species
AUUGAACGCUGGCGGCAUGCCUUACACAUGCAAGUCGAACGGCAGCACGGGGGCUUGCUCCUGGUGGCGAGUGGCGAACGGGUGAGUAAUACAUCGGAACGUACCCUGAAGUGGGGGAUAACGUAGCGAAAGUUACGCUAAUACCGCAUAUUCUGUGAGCAGGAAAGAGGGGGAUCGCAAGACCUCUUGCUUUAGGAGCGGCCGAUGUCGGAUUAGCUAGUUGGUGAGGUAAAGGCUCACCAAGGCGACGAUCCGUAGCGGGUCUGAGAGGAUGAUCCGCCACACUGGGACUGAGACACGGCCCAGACUCCUACGGAGGCAGCAGUGGGGAAUUUUGGGACAAUGGGCGCAAGCCUGAUCCAGCCAUGCCGCGUGAGUGAAGAAGGCCUC